GAUUUUUGGAACUCGGUGAAAUUUUUGUAGUUUCCACCAGCUUUAAUGAGUUGAAUGUGUUUCUGCCAAGUGAGGGUUAUUUGCAUUCUUGGACUCCUACAAACAGACGCGUGCACACCGCCUGUGAUCGUGAUGAUAGACUUGCCUUAGUCUCUCUCGGACUUGGCUGUGAACCACACCUGGAUAUAUUUGAGAAGUGAUGGCAUGCGUCUACUCCCAGUUCCAGGUGAAAACAUUCUGGAAGAUGAUAAUUGACCAAAGAUGGGUCAGAGAGGGUAUGAUGGAGACCGAGGAAGACAGGAAAGAUUGAAGCCUGGUGUCCGACACCCAUCCUGUAGCAUCCUCGGACCCGCACCUAACACAGCCCGAACCCCGGGAGUGGCACAACCCAAUCAGAGAAAGCGCCAGCGGCAGCCUGGCUGGAAGAGCUGAACCUGCAACUUCCCACCUGAGAAACAGGGAGACGCCCCACCCUCCGCCUGCAGCAGCGCCAGCCAAUCCCAGGGCAGCAGUGGAGCGAGCGCUACGGAAAGGCAGAGGAGACAAACUAAUUCCAAACGAGGUGGGGGCGCGGUAUCGCUCUCUGUCUCCUGCAGCUGGGGUUCCCAG
rnacentral:lncRNA from 1 species